GCCGGGCGUGGUGGCGUGUGCCUGUAAUCCCAGUUGCUUGGGAGGCUGAGGCAGGAGGAUUGCUUGAACCUGGGAGGCAGAGGUUGCAGUGAGCCAAGAUUGCACCACUGCGUUCCAGCCCGGGUGACAGAGCGAGACUCUGUCUCAA
rnacentral:sRNA from 1 species